rnacentral:rRNA from 1 species
UACAGAGGGUGCGAGCGUUGAUCGGAAUUACUGGGCGUAAAGCGCGCGUAGACGGUUUUGUAAGUCAGAUGUGAAAUCCCUGGGCUCAACCUGGGAACUGCAUUUGAGACUGCAUGGCUAGAGUAUGGAAGAGGGAAGUGGAAUUUCCGGUGUAGCGGUGAAAUGCGUAGAUAUCGGAAGGAACACCAGUGGCGAAAGCGACUUCCUGGUCCAAUACUGACGUUCAUGUGCGAAAGCGUGGGGAGCAAACAGG